rnacentral:rRNA from 1 species
UACAGAGGUCUCAAGCGUUGUUCGGAUUCAUUGGGCGUAAAGGGUGCGUAGGCGGCGCGGUAAGUCGGGUGUGAAAUCUCGGAGCUUAACUCCGAAACUGCAUUCGAUACUGCCGUGCUUGAGGACUGGAGAGGAGACUGGAAUUUACGGUGUAGCGGUGAAAUGCGUAGAUAUCGUAAGGAACAUCAGUGGCGAAAGCGACUUCCUGGACCAAUACUGACGCUCAUGUGCGAAAGCGUGGGGAGCGAACGGG